GACGAACCGUGCGAACGUUAUUCGGAAUCACUGGGCUUAAAGGGCGCGUAGGCGGGCCGCCAGGUCCGGGGUGAACGCCUCCAGCUCAACUGGAGAAGUGCCUUGGAUACCGGCGGCCUCGAGGGAGGCAGGGGCGUGCGGAACUUCGGGUGGAGCGGUGAAAUUCGUAGAGAUCCGGAGGAACACCGACGGCGUAGGCAGCGCCCUGGACGACACCUGACGCUGAGGCACGAAAGCUGGGGGAGCGAACAGG
rnacentral:rRNA from 1 species